rnacentral:tRNA from 2 species
GGCCAGGUAGCUCAGUUGGUACGAGCGCCCGCCUGAAAAGCGGGAGGUCGGCGGUUCGAUCCCGCCCCUGGCCACCA